rnacentral:rRNA from 1 species
UACGGAGGGGGCUAGCGUUGUUCGGAAUUACUGGGCGUAAAGCGCACGUAGGCGGCUUUGUAAGUUAGAGGUGAAAGCCCAGGGCUCAACCCUGGAAUUGCCUUUAAGACUGCAUCGCUAGAAUUGUGGAGAGGUAAGUGGAAUUCCGAGUGUAGAGGUGAAAUUCGUAGAUAUUCGGAAGAACACCAGUGGCGAAGGCGACUUACUGGCCCGAUACUGACGCUGAGGCACGAAAGCGUGGGGAGCAAACAGG